GUAAACGAUGUCAACUAGUUGUUGGGGAGGGAGACCUCUUUAGUAACGUAGCUAACGCGUGAAGUUGACCGCCUGGGGAGUACGGUCGCAAGAUUAAAACUCAAAGGAAUUGACGGGGACCCGCACAAGCGGUGGAUGAUGUGGAUUAAUUCGAUGCAACGCGAAGAACCUUACCUACCCUUGACAUGUCUGGAAGCCUGAAGAGAUUCGGGUGUGCCCGAAAGGGAACCGGAACACAGGUGCUGCAUGGCUGUCGUCAGCUCGUGUCGUGAGAUGUUGGGUUAAGUCCCGCAACGAGCGCAACCCUUGUCAUUAGUUGCUACGAAAGGGCACUCUAAUAAGACUGCCGGUGACAAGCCGGAGGAAGGUGGGGAUGACGUCAAGUCCUCAUGGCCCUUAUGGGUAGGGCCUCACACGUCAUACAAUGGAUGGUACAGAGGGUCGCCAACCCGCGAGGGGGAGCCAAUCUCAGAAAGCCAUUCGUAGUCCGGAU
rnacentral:rRNA from 1 species